CCUGACAGAUAAGCCUCCCAGCCAACCAGGCUUCGAAUCUUCUUCCUCUAAGGCACGCCCACUCUCUCGUUCCCCUUCUUUCCCCAGCACUGAGACCCAUCUACAGUCUGCAACAGAGAAAAUUACCUGCUCUCAACCACAGUCCAGAGGCAGAUGAUCCACUUUCUGACCUAUCAUCAGAAGGGCAUAGUAGCUUAAUGCUAGGUCACAAUGCCUACCUCAUUCACCUCACUUUGUGCAUCACCACAGGAAGAAGGAAAAUUUAAAGUUUCAUAUGUGGAUUGCAUUAAACUCCUACUGGAAGCACUGGUCUAGAAUGUGAAGCGUGUGGAUGGAUGACUGUCCCCUCCAUGGUUGGCCAGCUCUUGGAGGAUGGAAACCACAGAUUGCUGAUCAUUUGCUUCCUGUACAUUACUUUGAUGUAAAGGUAUUACAUGAAAGAAUACUUUUCAUGUAGUAAAUAAUCAAUAAAUGUGCUUGCUAAGUUUAAUUUAAUUUGGAAUGAGA